CGGCUCUGUCUGGCCUCCUACAGAUUUUAAAACUUUUUUAAGUUUCACAAAAUCUUAAUAAAAGAACUCUUUGAGGGGCCACUGUAAAGUAAAUUUCAGCCUACAGAUUUAUUAAAAAUGAUUGUUGGA
rnacentral:lncRNA from 1 species